GAGAGAGAGAGAGAGGGAAAGAAAUGUCACCCGGAGCCCGGGCCCGCGGGGGAGAGGUGGCGCGUUAGAGAUGUGUGUGGGAGAGAGGGAGCGAGCGAGAGAGAGAGAGAGGGGGAGCGAGACCUCCGCUGGCCCCGCGAACUUGUCAAGCCACCGCUACAGUGCAAAACACCAAGCUUUUGGCCUCAAAAAGCCUAGACCAUCAUGGCUACGAAAACUGCUGCUACUCAGAGACCAUGUAAUUCUGGAGCUCCUUAAGGAAAAAAUAGUGCGAUGCAACAUCAGAACAGUGGCCAAGUGAUCUUCUCCACAGCAGCCAUGAACUUCAAUCUUGAACUGAAGAAGACUCAUCAAAUGCCUAAGGAAAGACAGUAUGGAGUUGGAAGAGAAGCAUGGAUCUCCAUGAAGGGCAGUCAGUUAUAGUCAUGGUCAGCAUGCUUGGUUGGUCUGCCACUUGACACGUGUAGCUCAGAGCUGGCCACAAUGUGAGCUGCUUCCUGUUCUCCUAAACAUCAGAAGCUGAAAUUUAGAGAAAUCUGUUUAGAAGAGACUGGGAAAACAGCCAGGCUAGCUCAGUGCAAGUGUGUUGGUGGCACCUGUAAGCAUGCAGGUGUGUGGAAGAACAGGUCCUGUUCUCGCUGUUGUUACUCCCACAUAGGCAGACUCUGUAAUUGAUUAUGUGUGGGUAGGGCCCUAUUGAAAUUCAGGAGAUUCUGCAGUAGUGCGGGGUUCUUUUUGUGAGAGUUCAGUUGCAAGAUCAGGACCCUACUGUGACUCCUUACUGUGCAUUCUGUCACUGUCUCAUUGGUUGUACUGGAACCUGCCUGUUGGGAUAAUUACCAAAUACUAUAUUCCUCAAAACUUCUUAAUGGCACUGAGGCUUUGUGGAUAGUUGGUCACAUGAUGAGAAAAUUCAGCUGUAAGUACAUUAAAAUGAUUGACUUUUUCAAUAGUUAGUCUUUACUGAUGUUGGCAAACUAAUAGUGAUAAAAAUGUGAAUCAAGAGGUUUGACUUAUGUCAAAUUACUUCAGUUCUUUUUAGAAAAUAUAUAGAGUAUACCCAUUAAGGAUCUUAUUAUUCUUAGGUAAUUCACCAUGGGACCCUGAAGUUCUUCCCUACUGCAGUUUGGUAGGGAGUUGAGAGUUGUUUGUUUUCUUUAUUUUCAGAAUGGUGUGUCUCUGACUUGCUCUGUGUUUUGAUGGAUAAACUUUUUGAAAUUUAUUGAUCUAUAAAACUUGUUUAUACCACUAAUAUUUGUAUAGAUAUUGCAAACUGAUUUACUAACGUAAUUGUCUUGCUGGGUUGAAUACUGAAAUGUUAAUAAAUAUACACUUAUAAUUGUGUCAGUGUACCUUGGUUAAAUUAAACUGAGCUGGCAUUAUGAGUGAAUUUGAUCAUACAUGCUGAUUAGCUAUAGUCUUAGGCAGGGACUACAUAUUACCCAUAUCAUAUGUCAGUGGAUUCACCCAAAAAUAGCUAUAAAUAUCUAUGCUUGGGUUAAGGAGGAAGUUCUUUUCCUGUAGUUAUGGGUACAGUCAUGGCUUUGACUCCUGUUUUUAUAUACAAAUGAGCAAAGACUACAUGUAGGUGCUUUCCCUGUAUAACAAAAGGGGCAUUGUAAACUCUGUGCCCUUUUUUAUGAUGUUGUAUUUCCUUUCUGGUAUUUAAAUUCAAGGAUGUUUUCAGCUGUGUCUUAAUCCAAAAAAACAAAAGGAAGACCUGGAAAUGUUACUGAAUUUGUGGAUAAUUACCAAGGGGCUGUAAAGGUCUGGAGGAAUUGUGUGUAGGGACAAUUAGAGAUUCUUUCUCAUGAAGCAAGGACACAGAUAAUAAUUGAUGAAUAAAGGUUAAGGAGCACAGGAUUAUUUUUAUUGCUUGGCACAAGAGCAGCAUGAAAUGAAAGUAAUUUGAAGAAAGAGCAAGACCAAAAGAGAAAUAGCUACUGGUAUUUUUCAUUGCACUGAAUAUAUGAUUGAUUUAAGCUUAAGAUUUUCAGUAAAUGCUUUUCUUGAAGUUUUUUGUUUUCUUCUGCUGGAGAGGAGUAGAAGAACUUCGAAGUGUUAAAGAAGACUCAGUGACUACUUGUGAAUUACAGUGUGAGUUGGGGAUUCAAGAUGACAGUUACAAUUAAGAAGAGAAGACAAUGGGUUGCUAUAUAAAAUUAGUGCCAAGCAGAAGCCUUAAUUUCUUGUUCAAACACAAAACUUAAUGAUUUUGAAAUGUAUCACCUUCAACAGCACUCAAACCACAAUUUUAUUAUGUUAAUUACAGGAUGGGUAUUUUCAGAGUUCUCAUUUAAAAACUUGAACAUUUAUUCUUUUGAGAUUUUUCAAUAUAAAAUGAAAUUGAGAUUUUUCAAUAUGAAGCGAAAUCAUGAUUUCAUUUCAGAAACUGAAAUGUUUCAGAACACUGAAUGUUUGAUUUUGCAUAAAAAAUCCUGAACAGUGUAUUUUCUUUUUAAAAUGUGUAGACCUAAAUGUUUGCCAUUCUCACCUUUUAAUCCUACUGGCCAUAUAUAUAUUUUACUUGCAGUAAGUUGGGUGAAAGAAAGGAAAGCAGAAUUAGAUUAGGUGAUUGCAAAAAACCCCUAAACACAGCCUUCUAGCUGAGCCUCUAGACCAGAAGUGCCUCAGAACAGAUCUAAUUUCAGAGGAGGAAGGGAAGGAAAGUGACAUGCCAGUGAGUGGGUAUGGGGAAUCCUCUGCAUGUGUCAUCUCUGUCUGAGUUUUUCGCUCAUCACCACUGAGAGGCAGAUCACCAGGGUGUGACUGCUUCCCCUUCCUGUGAUUGCAACUUCCACUACUAUGAGGGAGAUAAUGGUGGGGCAUAGCUCUGUUCUGCCUGCAGCAGCACUGCUACCAAUGUUUGGAAGAGAAGAAACUCUGAAUUAUCUCCUGCUGUAACCAGCUCUCCAAUACUCACUGCUGCUUAGCCCUGCUGUUAAGUACCUGAUCUGAUGGUCUCUUUCAUUUAACUCAUGCCAUGAUGCUAUAAAUGACUGAAACGAGGACCAAAGCAAGGAAAUGGAUAUCAAGAGAAGGAGAUGAUGUUUUGGAAUGUAGGGAGUGGGCAUUUGCUGCACAGCUACACUUUGUCCCCUCUUGAGAAUACCUCAAGAGCUGGAAUACCAAACUACAGCAAGAGAGUAAGUUUCCUUCUUUGCAUUGAGAAGGAAGAGCAAAGGAAUGUGCCUGAACAUUCAGCAUGUUAAUUGUAAGUCUUUGAGAUCUCUUCCCCUACUUUGUUUGCACUCUGCUUGUGUGGUGACUGUCCGGAAUGUAGCAUGUCUUUAUUUGUAUCGAAUGAGGCACUCCUCACAUUGUAACAUCAGGAACAUUGUUUUUCCUCAGCCCUUGAAAGUCAAAACAUGGUAGCAUAGAUAGCUGUAACAAGUUCAUAAUAAAAGUGACAUGAAAGAAUUUUCUUAUUUUGCAGUAUUUUUAGGAAAAACAAUGUUUUAUGUGUUUGAAAUACCUUUUCUUUUUCAAUCCUAAGCAGAAUUAAUGCAUGAAAAUUUUCUUCAGCAAUGCCCUCAGUUCCUUAUUUGCAGUUAGAACUAUUACUCUUUUGUUAGUUAGUUUUUUUUAAUCUAGGUUGAUGCCUUCACAAAACUUCUCUGAACCCUUUAUGAAUGACACCAUCAUGCUGUCAUUUGUUUUAUCAUAAAAUCUAGUGUAAACCUGUGUUUUAGGAAUCUUUUUCCCAUCCAUAAAGGAUGAUCAUUCUUCUCUGUCAGCAGGUUUUUCAUUGAUCAAGACUUUAUUAGAAAAUCUUUUACUUUGCCUUGACAAAAUGCGGCCUUGCCUUGCUGUCAAAGUGCUGCUCUACUGUAAAUACCAUUUUCCAAACGUACUCCUUUGCUAUUUUCAAUUUCCUGCUUUAUUUUAGAGCAAUAAAUAUAAGCUAUCUGUCUUUAUUUUCAAGGGUCAUCAGGACUACUUCUACCUGAUACCUCUCCUUCAGUACCAAGAGGUUGACUCUGGUUUUGAUCAACAUAUGACGCCUACUUCCUUCAUUCAGUCAUUGAAUUUUCAGACCACAUUGAAUAUUUUCUCCUCAGCUGCCUCUCAUGUAUUCAUUGACUUCUUCAUAAAUAGAAGUGUUCAUUAUCUUCCCUCUAAUUUUUUCUUGAAAGUUGUAUGCACUGUGAAGCUUUAAGCAAUCCAACUAGACAACAGUUAUACUGUGGGUACGUAGGUGCUAAUGCCUAUCACAGUAGUACUGUGUCAUUGCAUUUGGACUCUGCCAUAACCCCUCUGUUGCCACUUUAUGUAGAAUUUAAGUAUAUCUAUAUUUUGUUGUGUGUUUAUUCAUGGCCCAGUGUAAUACAAAAUGGCCCAUGGUGAGACCUUCCAAGAUUUAUGGUAUUACAGAUAAAUAAUAAUGAAUGUUCACUGGAUGCUGCAGCAUAGCUGUUGGAUUCUGUUGUGCCUAAUGCCAUGUCAGAAUUUAAUGCAGAAAGAAGGGGCUCCAAUCAGAGGCCUCACGAAAGGAAAAUAAGUGAGUUGCAGCCAACAGAAAAAAUGCUAGCCCCAGAGGCCUUCUCAGCUGUCAAACUCAAGUCUGUAGCUACUGCCAUUGUGUCCUGAAAGCUUCCCUGUCCCUGUCCCUGUCCCUGUCCCUCUCCCUGUCCCUCUCCCUCUCCCUCUCCUCCCUUCUCGUAUAAGGAAGUAAAUGCAAAUAUCACAAUGGUCUGCAGUGUAUGCAGAAGGUCUUCUUACUUUUGUAGCAAACUUCAUUUCAUUCCUGACACAGCAUCUCUUGGUACAGAAGUCUUUAAUAACCAUAAUUGUGCCAUUCAUCAGUCCUUUUUUCCAGUGCCAUUUGGUCUCUGUUGAGAAGGAACCUACACUGGUUUUUAUUUGGUAUCUUGGUAUGUCCCUGUCUCAUGAUGCUCAGCUUCCAUUGUGCUUCAAAAGUAAUGAGCCUUCAGAGAAAUGGUAAGGAUUAAUAAAUUUGGAAUUCCCCAGGCAUGUCACCCUCUUUCUGUAAGUGGGUCUGCAUGUAACUCCUUCUUUUAAAAGCACCCUGAAAUGUCAGUGUUUAGAUUGUAUAGAGAUGAUGGAAUGUUGAGUGCCUGGCUGAUUAUGGAGAUGGUAGAUUGGACUGUGCAGACAAAUGGUGCAGUACAUACCAAAGAAAAUAUAGUCCAAUAGACUAAUUUUAUCAGAAUAAGCCACAAAUUGUAGUUCUAUAUGGUUCUAUGGCUGAGUAGGAGAACUUUAGUAAGAGCUCUGGGCUAGUUGGAGAGAUGGAGGUGAAAUUGCUGUGAAAUACUCUGGGAGCCUGGGGAGUGUGUACAACCCAAAAGCUUGAUCCUAGCAACAGUUCUUGGUUAUAUAUGUAUAGACUGGAUAAACUGAAUGUUAGGUCUCAUUAGGCCAUCAUGCACAGGCUGCUAUUUAGAUAUCAUUGAGCACUAAUUUUUGAGCAAACAAGAUAGAGAAUCCAGAAGGAGAAAGACAGCCCUUGAUUUAGUCUAGAUCAACAUGCAACAAGUGACAGUGGAAGAACCAUUCAGUAGCGAGAUAUCAUACUCAAGUUUGUCGUACUUGUCAGAGAAAAAAAGCUUAAAAUAAUUUUUUUUUUAAAGUCCAGUCUUGUUUAAAAAAAAAAAAAUUGUAUACUAAUGAAGACACAGUUUAAAUAAAUAUUCAAAAUACACAGGGGCUUUGUUUUCUGAUUCUAACCCAAUUAAAUAAGCCUUUUCCAACACAAUUCAGCAGUAAAAGAAGCUACUAGAAAUAGAGAUUUUUUAAAAAGCAAAAUCCAAGCAAGCAAAGCAGAAAAGAGCACAGUUCUGGCAAGUGUAGACCUAGUAUGAGGCAGAACAAAAAGAUUUUGAAAUGCAAUGGACUAAAAUUCUAAAAGCCAAACCCCACAUAUUUCCAGUGUAAAUUUUGCUAGAUGAGAGGUGAGGUUAAUAGAUAGUUGUGGUUAAGGAGAAAGACAAAGCCAUUACAAAAAGAAAUUGAAAGAAAUUGAACUCAUUGUGCUGGCAAGGUUUAUGACAGGAUGAUUAGGGACAUCCCCAAAUAGGAGUUGUUUUUAUAGGGAGUAGUUCAGAUUUGAUAUCUCAAUAAAAGGUUUUUAAACAAAUUGAUUGAAUACACAUUAAUAAAUUGCCCAAUAACAUGCUGUUCAUUCAGUAGCCCUAGAACAAUUCAGAAAUUAAAUUGGUGAGCAAACCACGAACUGUGUUGUAUAAUCUGGUAUUUAAAUUAGCCUUGAUAACAGAGGAAUGGAAAGUAACAAAUGUGACCCUAGUUUUGAAAAGGAUUUUAGGGAUGGUCAUGGACUAAUGGACUAAAAAGUGAGGCUACCAUGACAGACAAAAUGCCAGUGAUUGUGAUGAAGCAUACUGUUUAUAGGAACAUGGAUAGGUGUAAUAGCAACCAUCAUGCCUUUUGUACAAGUAGUUUUGUCUUAGAGUUUUGCUAGUUAUUUGGAAGAGUCAUUUCCAGAUGCACAGGAAAAAGUGACCCAAAAGUUUUUAAAAGUUCUGUAACUGAAGACUGUUAACAAAAUGAAGUAGGGAAUCACUUAAAAUUCUUUGUGGAUUAGUAAAGGGUUAGAAGAUAAGGAACAGUACAGAGACUAAUGGGCAGUUUUAACACUACCCCCUCAUGGAGGUUUGUACUGGCACCUUUGCUGGUCCACCUGUUCCUAAACAGUCUGAAAAAGCACAAUUGUAAAUAUUGCAGAUGAUAAAAGGAAAAUAUUCAGUUGGAGGCAGACCUAAUGCUGACCCUGAAGAGCUGCAGAAGGAUCUCACAGCAGGACCUGUGGUGAUCCAGGAGCUGUGUCUGUCACAGUGGCCAGAUAUCGCUGACCCCACUGUCCAGCUGAAUCCAUCAUCAGAGAGAGGCAGUGGCUGUUGGAUUACAGCAGCCAUCAGCCCAUAAACCAUGAACUCAGCAGGCUGUGACCAGUCCUGCCACUUAGGAAGGCAGGGACUUGUAGCUGUUCUUUGUAACAGCAGGGGCUGCAAAAUGAAGAGAAGAUUCUUUCUCCCUGUUUUCUCAGAGUUUUAUAACCCCAACGAGCUUAAAGUACGUGAUUUGAACUUAGAGUUCCUGCCUGCUGUAGGGCUGGAAUAUCACUGUUAAAGUGAUAGGUAAUGUCUUGCUGCUGCUCUGAAAAGCCAGGGCUCUCAAGCCAUUUUAUGGUGUUUGCAUGGAUUUUUAGCAACUUCUAUUAAUUUCUUAAAGUGGUAUCUGGAUCUGUAAAUAAGUUUGUUGUCCUCAUUGAUUGAUGAUAAAUUUUUACACAUGAAUCAAGUGUAUACUAUUCCCAUUUUCUUAAAUCUGUAGAUGUUUUUUUCUUGUUCCUUUUUCUAGCUGUAGCAGUAUUAUGGAUGUGCAGAUCAGUUUUGCUUCUGCUGUUCACUAACCUGUGGGCAAUGGCAAAUGCCAGUUGGCUGCUACUUCAGAAGCUAAAUGCAGUUGCAGGCCCUAAAAUUAUUUCCAGGGAAAAUCAGAUAAAAAAGCAGAAAUAUUUCAUGCAGCAACCAGAAGGUCUGGAGGGAGGGAUGGAAUAGAAGAUAUCAUUGUACCUUUGCAACAGCUGGAAUGGUUUCCAAGGUGUUGUCUGCAAAUCCCUAGUGGACUCCAAGGCUAUGGUGAAUUGAACAUCUGUUUGGCUAAACCAUAACUGUGCUUUAAAUAGUGUUUCCAAUUAAAAGUUUGAUCAGAUGGGUGUGUGGUGGCUUUUGAAAAUUGCUGAAGGCUGAUAAUGAUCUGUUGCUCAAAACAAAGUGGGAACUGAUAUUCUGGAGUGUAUGAAAAAGUAGAGAGUCCUCCCUACCUUCUCAGUUUUAGGAAUGUUGCGUUCUCUUCACAAGAAGCAAAAGGUGCCCAGAAAGGAGCCAGGAAAAGCAGUCUGGCAGCAUUAAUCCUUCUAUCCCCAUCAUGCCUCCCCCAGUAACAGAAGUAUGGGAUUCUGAAUCAUUGUAUUGUCCUUGAGUAUCCCUGAAAUUCUUCAAUGGUCCUGCUUUUCAUAUAUAUUCCCAACUAGUAGAUUUCAUUUUCUGGUAAGUAUGAUUUUUCAAGUCUUGGGUCCUCAUCUGACAAAAAUAAACUUGUCAACUCCUCUACUACAAUAUAUAUCUUUCUUUGAAUUAAAGCCUGAUUUCUCAUUGCCAGAAAAACAGAUUUUAGAAUUUUCCAUUCUGCCAUUAUUAAUGGGCAUAAACUUUCCUUACAAUUAUUAGCAUGUCUUAUUACCCAUUUGUUACUUUUUCAAAAUCCCAAUUGUAUUUGACCAACUUCUUUUAUUUCCCUGAAUGUUAAAGAUAACAUUGUAAAAAGCUUCUUUGCCCUCAUAUCAUGUCUCUUAUUACUUUUUUCUUACUAUUGAAAAUUUUCCAGCAUCAUAAAAUAUUUAUAUUCUCAGUGCUUUUAGUUGCCCUUGACAGAGUUUACUUCCCAUUGUCCUGAGUACCAUACAAGCACAUCCAUAAGUAAUUUGCAGAGAUGUUAGCUUUUCCAACCUUCCGUGCAUAUUUUUGUUAGGAAUUGUGGUGGUGUCAAAUUGGAGGUACACUUAGCUAUAAGCUGUAUUCAAGUAGUAUAAAUAUGUUUAUCUUAAAAAAAUAUCUAAAAGAAAUAAUUUGUCUGAUCUACAAUCACUGCAAUGUAUUGUAUGAAAUUUAAACAAGAUACUGGAAACAAAUACUACCAAUAGCUUUUUUAAAAAGAUGAAGCAAGUUGACAGGUGCUCUGUUUAACCUUUUUAUGUUCUAUUUUUCUUACUCAUGUCUUUUGAUACAAAUGUGGAAAUAAGGAGGGCUGUGCUUGUUUUUAUAUUAUCUUGCUAAAUACCUGUUGCUAGCUUACAUGAUUCUGCUGUUGUCUUUGGUCAGGCUUGAGCUACAAGCUGAAUAUGAGAUUGAGGGGAAUCUUAGCCUUGUAUCAGAAAGCAACUUGUAAGGAAGGAGAGAGUGACUUCUGCUAUACUGUGGGAAAAGGUGGUUUCCUGAAUUUACCUGUGAGCAACAGGAGAGAGGAAUUUAUGACUCCAGGCAAGGCAUAUGGGUAUAGAAGCAGUGAUGGGGUGUAUUGUUAGGUCUGAGGAUAAGUGCAUAAGAAUGAAGAAUUUGGAACAGGUAUCAGAGAAAGGGUUUCAAUAAGAGUUGGAGAGAUCACAGUUGGAUAAACACUCUGGGGUCAGUUGAAAGCCACGUUACUAGAGAACAUGGCUACAGCUCUCUGUCUGACUCUAGCUCACGCCACACUUGUCCUAGCUACACCCUUAUCUGUCUUCUGGAAUCUCAGCUUCUUCUCCAGUUUCUGCUCAUGACCCUUUUAAGUGGAAAACCUACUUUCCUGCUUACUCCAGGAACAAUUACAUGCAAAGGUACAAAUGGUCCUAUAAAUCUUUUACAUCUAAAGUUUGUCUUCUGUCUCACUAUACUUUCUUCAGCCUCCUAUCUGCGGAGUUCUGCACUGCAGAUGCAGAUGGACAAAGGAAUCACAAAAUAGAAUUAUUUAGAUUGGAAAAGGUCCUUAAGAUCAUCAAGUCAACUAUAAACCUAACAGUAAAAGUCCACCACUAAACUGUGUCUUUAAGUGCUGUAUUCACAUGUCUUUUAAAUGCCCUGGACAGCCUGCUCUAGUGCUUAACAACCCUCUCAGUGAAGAAAUGUUUCCUAAUAUCCAAUCUAAACCUUCUCUGGAACAACUUGAGGCCAUUUCCUGUUAUCCUGUCACUGGUUACUGCCUGGAAGAAGAGACUGACCCCCAGCUGGCUCCACUCUCCUUUCAGGCAGUUGUACAGAGUGAUAAGGUCUCCCCGGAACCUCCUUUUCCAUAGACUAAACAACCUCAGCUCCCUCAGCUGCUCCUCGUAGGACUUGAGACCCAGACCCUUCUCCAGCUCCAUUGCCCUUCUCUGAUGCUCCAGCACAUCCAUGUCCUUGUAGCAAGGAGCACAGUACUGGCAGCAUGGUCUCACCAGUGAAUACAAAAGGAUUCAAAUGAGCUGCUGUGGAAAGCUGGCUGCACAAUGACUGUCGGAGUUCAUGAUUCCUGAGAAGUAACACCUUGAAGUUCUGGCACUGUCUUCUACAAAGUAACUUACACUGAGCUGGCUUCCUGUUACUGUGUCAAUGAAACAUCAAAUGUUGAUACUAUGUGUGAAACAACAUUUGAUAUUAUGGCUAUUAAGCUGCUUGAAAAAAUACUAUACAGAUGGAUUUUGUGUUUACGAGACCUGGCAUUUAAAAAUCUAUAUCAUGGAUGCAGGUAAUAAAUGUUGUUUAUUAAUUGUUACAGGAUAGAAAAUACUUAUAUUUGUGUACAAGAUGGUAGUCCUAGCUCUCACUAUUUUUAUCUCCUAAAUAUCUAAUAAUUAGGUGGUUAUAAAUAUUUAAAGAUAUUAAUCAUUUAAUUUGUUGAAGCAUUGUGUGCAUAAUUUAGAAUGGCACUAAAGGAGGGAAAUGGACAUGCCCUUCUCAUAACAGCUACACAUGAGAAGAAGGUAGCAAAGAUAAUGAUAGCAUUCAAAUUUAUAGAAAUUGUUAUGUUUUGCUGUAUGAGCAUUGCCUUUUACAGAAUGAUGAUCUCAUCCAAAGGUUGCAGUUAUCUAAAUAGAUUCAUUGCUGAACUUUAUUCCAGUGUUUUUAUAUCUUUGCUGGAAGUAAGAGAAUACAAACACUUGAAAUUUAAGUUAUUGAUCUUCAUCCAUGCUACAACUUUCAGAAUUUGGUAUUUAACCCCAGAAUUGGAUCUAUAGCUCUUUUAAAUUCUGGAAUUCCAGAAACUGUGCAGGUGAGCAGGAAAAAGCAAAGGAAGAAACUGAAACGGGGAGAAGGAACUCAUUCUCCUUUACAAAAGGAAAGAUGAAAAAAACUUAAUGAGUGUAGGAGAAAUAAUAGGAUGAAAGAGAGGAGUCAGGUGAGGAUUUCCAGUAAUAUUUUUUAUAUAGUGCUCAGAUAUGUUAUGCUUUGUGCUACAUGGAAAACAGAGUGAGACAUCAGCUUUCUAACUGCUGUUCUGAGCUGUACUUUACUCCCUGUGCAUUUUUGUUUUAGCACAGUCACUUCUAAGGAAGGCUUUAAAUUGACUUUCAGGGCUGACCUGAAUCACAAAAUUCAUGCUGAAAUUAUGACUACUUCAUUGUUUGUCUUACCAAGUUAGUCUUAAAAAACCCACUUAUAGACAUGAAAAAAAUCAAAACCAUUUUAAAAAUAUAUGUUUCUGUUAAUUCUAGUCACUAGUAUUUGGGAAAAGGCAAAAGCAGGCAUGCAGUAACAGUAAAGAGUGUCAGAAUUUCUGUGUAAAACCUAAUUAUAAUAAUACCGAAAUUGAAAAGAAAACCUGCUUAUUAGCUGUUACUCAGCAGGAUUAAGCAAAGUCAGUCAAUACAUAACCAAAUGUAGCUGUAGAACAAUGGGUUACUUACAUUGGCACUCAUUACAGGUUAGACACCAGUGUGGAUUUCAUCCAUAGGCUGUAAGAAAACAAAAGAAAUUAGGAAAUUGCAAAAAAAGUUUCAUUCAGUAAUCUGUUCAUGGCUGUGCUUGGUUUCUGCAUGAUUCACAUAGUAUAUAUAGUACUAUGGCAAGAGUAUAUGUUUAGGAAAAUCUUAUACUUUUUAAACUAAGCAAUUAACAAAUAUUCAUAGUGACUAUAACUGGUCUUCAUUAAUUACCAUGCAAAAAACCAUUUAACUACAGAGAUAAGGAUCUCCCAUUUUUGUACAUUCACUCAAUGGUAAGAAUAAACAUUUUAACUGUUCACCUGAGCAACACUUCAGUGUAACUGAGCCCUGAGUUGAUGUAUGGCAGAAUAACACCCCCUCUAAAAGGGGACAGAGAGAGAAAAUGGGUGGGGCAGGGAGAGGCCUUAUGGUGCCACUUCACAAUUAAUUUUGGAAUGGUAACAUCUACUUUUUGGAAUGUAGUGUAUUAAUUUCUGCUGAUAGAGAUAGGUCAGCAUAAGAACUAUGCUAUAAAUUGCUGUGUGAUAGGGUUCCUGUUCCUAUGCCAUGUCUGUGUCACUGGGCAGCAGUUUUUAAGGGCACCCAGUAAAGAUAUGAAUACAGAAAAACUAACAUAACUGUACUCUUCAUUCUAAAAAAAAAAGGAAAUUAAAUGCAGAUAAAAUUUUAGAAGUUCUAAAUUAGAGACUUUUUGGUCUAUUUUAUGGUUAAGCCCUUGCUGUUAUGUUGUUUUGCAUUGAUGUUACAUUAUUUAAUGUUUUGUGAUUCUAAAAUGGUUUAAGUCGUGUAAAUUGUUCAGUGCAAAAUCCCAUUUCAAGUAUAUUUAGAUUCUAUUUAAUUGCAUUGUAACUGGCAACUCUCUGUUGUCCUCAUGUAAUAGGCAGUAUCAAGAUGACUGUAUUCUGAAAUAGUUAUUAGUGGAAGACCACUCCAGUCCCAGGACUAUGUCUCUCAGACUUUCCAUAUGGACAAGGAAGUGCCAACGCUGCCACCCUUUCCGAAGCUUUUCACUCGCUACCUCUCUGACAAUCCUCCUUUCCAUGUUGAAAGUAUUGUCCUAACUUGUGAUGUGGAAGAUUGCUGGCUCUUCCUUUGAUGCUGAUACCAGUAUUUUCUUGACUGAUAGGAUUGUAAUGAAGACAUAGAAAAAGAAGACUAUGGAGCUCACAUGAAUGUUUUAUAGUUUGAGUAGUCAAAAAAUAUUGUUCUUCUGCCUUCAUAUAAAAUGUGUUGGUUUCCCAAUGUGAUUGUAACCUAGAGAUGUUUUUAGAAAUGUAAAAUUAAAUGUGAAGAGUAUAAAAUCCAUAUUAAAGACAUAAAAAUGUUAUAAAAUACAGCACUAGUCUUUAUUUUAACAACUGAGUUCUACAUGGCUCACUUGCAAAAUGUGGUGUAGACUUACAAAGUUGCAUACUGGUAAAGUCUGACUUACUAAAAGAUGAAAUUUCUUUUUCUGUUCAGUAAUUAUUAAAAGGUCAACUUAUUUUCUUUCUCCCUCUGGUAAUAUUUUCUUGUUAUACCUGAUAAAGAUCUCCUUCUCUUGAGUUCUGUCUUCUCCCUUUUUUUUUGUUCCUUUUGUUAACCUAAGUUUGUGGUUCCUUUCUACCUUGGUCUCUCCUAACUCUUUUGGUCCAAUACUGAUCCCUUUUUUCUCAUAUGUUUGCAUCCAUUUGCCUAGAAUAUUGCCUUGAGCAUGACCAUAUAUACCUAAGAAUAUAUUUACUUCUAAAUGCUGGAUGGAUCUGCUAUUUUAGGACUUCCAGUAAAGCAGAAAAGAAACUUAACAAUUCAUGACAGUGUUUUAGGGUUUUUUUAUGAUACAUAUGCCUUCAGAGGAUCAAAGUACCUUGCUUCCAACAUCAAUGGAAUAGUAACUAUAGACAGAGAUAAACAUUCCUGUAAAAAUAAAGACCUAUGGUACUUGUUCAAUAUAGGAAUGCUAACUUAAAAAGAGCAUGAAUGAAACCAUGCUGUGUUCAUAAAUGGUAUGGCAAACGUUUUCAGUUUUGUUUGCAUAUAAAGAAAAAUGCGAUUGGAAAGAGUGCUUUGUACUGAUAGCAAUGUAAGGAAAUAGAAUUUUUUUUAAAAGACAACUAAAAUGUAUACAUGCAUAAAAUCAGAAGAAUUUUUGAAAAUCAUGCUCUGCUGUAGCAGAAACACUGAAUAACAGUUAAAGUUUUUAUGGGAUAGAUACCUACCUAUUUUAUUAGGUAUACUAAAUGUACUUUAGAUAAUCUAAAUUAUUUGGAUUGCAGUAAAAUGAAUACCAUGAGAAAACAUAAACAGCGAUGUUCAGAACUUUUGCUUUAUACAGGCAUGUGUAAAAUAUAGCAAAAAUAAUGGCACUAAUAAUAGCAAUAUACUAGAAAAUUA